rnacentral:rRNA from 1 species
CAGUCGCCACGGGAAUACGAAGGGGGCUAGCGUUGCUCGGAAUGACUGGGCGUAAAGGGCGCGUAGGCGGCGAUCAAAGUCAGGCGUGAAAUUCCUGGGCUCAACCUGGGGGCUGCGUUUGAUACUUGGUUGCUAGAGUGAGGAAGAGGGUCGUGGAAUUCCCAGUGUAGAGGUGAAAUUCGUAGAUAUUGGGAAGAACACCGGUGGCGAAGGCGGCGACCUGGUCCUUGACUGACGCUGAGGCGCGAAAGCGUGGGGAGCAAACAGGAUUAGAUACCCCGGUAGUCCCUGUCUCUUAUAC